rnacentral:rRNA from 1 species
AUAAGGGCGACUGAAACGGGAAGAGCCCAGCGCAUAACCUCGAACCCUCACCGAGGUGUCUUCGAGGGGUGUUGCGUUUCAGAGGGUCUAGCACGCCGGCCAUUCUCGCCUAAGUCUCGUUUGAAAGCGGCUCAUUACCCAUGGAGGGUGAUAGGCCCGUAUGGCGACUCACCCGUGAGGGAUACCUUGGCCGGUGGAAAGGACUUUUCUGUAGAGUCAGGUUGCUUGAAACUGCAGCCUAAAGCAGGUGGUAAACUCCAUCUAAGGCUAAAUAUGACCACGAGACCGAUAGCGAACAAGUACCGUGAGGGAAAGUUGAAAAGAACUUUGAAGAGAGAGUUCAAUAGUACGUGAAACCGUUAAGAGUCUAAACGGGUGGAACUCGUAGAUCGAAAUGAGGGGAUUCAGCUCGACGGCGUCGGCUGGGCCGGGAGGUCUUUAUCCAAAGCCGAUGCCCGCGUGCCGCGUUCGUCGCGGACGCGGGACCGCCUCUGGUUCCUCACGCCGGCGUCGGAGGGCGUAUUUCUCCUCGAAGUAGAUUGCCGCAGCCAUUGCUGGGGACGUCGAAGGCCCGGGCGGACUGGUACCUCGCCGCCCUCUCGGCUUGCCGGGAUGGGCGGCGGGGGAAACCCCCGGUGGCAUAUCCUGACGGCCCUGCGAUGGUUUGAUGAGUGGCGAGGGGGCCGCCGCCUCUUGGUCGCGCCCCUAAGGUGCGAUCGGGCGGUCUUCCCUCUGCGGUAAUGGCUAAGUCGGUGGACCACCCGCCCCGUCUUGAAACACGGACCAAGGAGUUCAACAUGUGUGCGAGUCAUUGGGUGCACUAAACCCACAGGCGAAAUGAAAGUGAGCAAGUGGGGGGUCCCUGAGCAGGGGCCUCCCGGGGCUGAUCCCUAGGCCGUGCAGCAGCCCCGAGGCCCGUGGGUGGGUCAAGGGAGGGUGAGCACUCUUUCCCCUCUCGCACCCGCCCGCGUCUGGCCCUCGGUGAGUUGCGGCGGCCCUUGCCCGAGCGUUGCUCUGGGCGGCUCGUCCGCCCGUGAGCUGUCGGGGGGGCGCAAGCCCGGGACUUGCCGUAUUGGCCCUCCGCGGAGGGGCGGCGGGGGCGGAAACGCGCCCGCCGUGUCCUGUUCCACGGCAGGUGCCGGCAAGUACCUUGAGCAGAUAUGUUGAGACCCGAAAGAUGGUGAACUAUGCCUGGCCAGGAUGAAGCCAGAGGAAACUCUGGUGGAGGUCCGGAGCGAUUCUGACGUGCAAAUCGAUCGUCAGAGCUGGGUAUAGGGGCGAAAGACUAAUCGAACCAUCUAGUAGCUGGUUCCCUCCGAAGUUUCCCUCAGGAUAGCUGGCACUCGUUCAAGAGUUUCAUCCGGUAAAGCGAAUGAUUAGAGGUCUUGGGGACGAAACGUCCUCAACCUAUUCUCAAACUUUAAAUGGGUGAGAGUCUGGGCUUUCUUGGAAGGCGGCGGCGCCGGCGGUGACGCCGUGCGUUCCACGCCGCCGACGACUGAAGCUCCAGAGUCAAAUCACUGAGUGCCUAGUGGGCCAAUUUUGGUAAGCAGAACUGGG